rnacentral:rRNA from 1 species
UACGGAGGGUGCAAGCGUUAUCCGGAUUCACUGGGUUUAAAGGGUGCGUAGGUGGGUUGGUAAGUCAGUGGUGAAAUCUCCGAGCUUAACUUGGAAACUGCCAUUGAUACUAUCAGUCUUGAAUAUUGUGGAGGUCAGCGGAAUAUGUCAUGUAGCGGUGAAGUGCUUAGAUAUGACAUAGAACACCAAUUGCGAAGGCAGCUGGCUACGCAUAUAUUGACACUGAGGCACGAAAGCGUGGGGAUCAAACAGG